ACCCUCCACAUUCCUUACCCCUCAGAUAUAAAUAUUGAUCUGAGUGGCUAAAAAGGGAGGGAAAGUAAAACUAAAGUUGACAUACAAGU
rnacentral:snoRNA from 1 species